rnacentral:lncRNA from 1 species
GCUAAUAAUAGAUGAGCACCAAGCUUUUGGGCCUUCAAUGAUCAUCAUACUAAUGAAUCCAUUAUCACCCAACUUAAUGGGAGGCUAUGAUUUAGUUAUCAUAUAACUAUCUCAUUUAAGAGACCUAAUAAUUUAAAAAAAUUAAUUUAUAAAUUAAGAGAAGAGAAGAGAAGAGAUUAACCAGUAAACCACAAUCCUUCCACUGACUUCACCAAGUCAUUGAAUUGGAUUAAGGUCAUGCUGGUUGAAUUGGCACCUAGAUUAGUCACACUGAUCAACCUUAAUGGCAUGAGUCAACUCGAAUCACUUAACGAUCUAAUCAAAAUAUAAUCUACCAAAUUGGCCAAGUAAGUG